UGUCAUUAUAAUACAUUGAGGAAUCGC
rnacentral:sRNA from 1 species